GGUGGGGAUGACGUCAAGUCCUCAUGGCCCUUAUAGUGGGGCUACACACGUCAUACAAUGGAUGGUACAAAGGGUCGCCAACCCGCGAGGGGGAGCCAAUCCCAUAAAGCCAUUCGUAGUCCGGAUCGCAGUCUGCAACUCGACUGCGUGAAGUCGGAAUCGCUAGUAAUCGUGGAUCAGAAUGUCACGGUGAAUACCGGUUCCCGGGUCUU
rnacentral:rRNA from 1 species